AGAGUUUGAUCCUGGCUCAGAUUGAACGCUGGCGGUAUGCUUAACACAUGCAAGUCGAACGGAAACGAUACUAGCUUGCUAGUAGGCGUCGAGUGGCGGACGGGUGAGUAACGCGUAGGAAUCUACCUAAUAGUGGGGGAUAGCCCGGAGAAAUCCGGAUUAAUACCGCAUAAUCUCUAUGGAGUAAAGGGGCCCUCUUCUUGAAAGGUUUCGCUAUCAGAUGAGCCUGCGUAAGAUUAGCUAGUUGGUGAGGUAAAAGCUCACCAAGGCGACGAUCUUUAGCUGGUCUGAGAGGAUGAUCAGCCACACUGGGACUGAGACACGGCCCAGACUCCUACGGGAGGCAGCCAGUGGGGAAUAUUGGACAAUGGGGGCAACCCUGAUCCAGCAAUACCGCGGGUGUGAAGAAGGCCUGAGGGUUGUAAAGCACUUUCAAUUGUGAAGAAA
rnacentral:rRNA from 1 species